AGUGACAAGAGUUGGUGGAAACGUGGAGGUGGAAGAUGUAAAUUAGAAGAAACAAGACAACAAAAAGGACAAGAACGUAAAUACACGAAAGACAUUCAUCAUAUAUUUAAUAAACAAAAAAACAUCAUCUCAUGCCAUGUUUCUCGAUAUCCGAGCUUGCUCUUCUCACUUCUAUUCUCUUCUAUUCUCUCCCUUUAUUCCUUCUCUCUUCUCUUCAUUCUCUCUUUCAUACUGAUGCAGAUUCUUCAAAACAACACAGAAACUAAGACUAAGACUAAGACAACUUCACUUUCUACUCUAACCUCGUUAUUCCUUCCUUCUACCUUAAGCUCCAUUUCAAACUUAUCUUGUUCAAAAAGUGAAACCUCUAUAACCUUAACAUUUUCUCUUUCUCUUUCUCUUUCACUAUAA